GAUGAACGCUGGCGGCGUGCCUAAUACAUGCAAGUCGAGCGAACAGACGAGGAGCUUGCUCCUCUGACGUUAGCGGCGGACGGGUGAGUAACACGUGGAUAACCUACCUAUAAGACUGGGAUAACUUCGGGAACCGGAGCUAAUACCGGAUAAUAUAUUGAACCGCAUGGUUCAAUAGUGAAAGACGGUUUUGCUGUCACUUAUAGAUGGAUCCGCGCCGCAUUAGCUAGUUGGUAAGGUAACGGCUUACCAAGGCAACGAUGCGUAGCCGACCUGAGAGGGUGAUCGGCCACACUGGAACUGAGACACGGUCCAGACUCCUACGGGAGGCAGCAGUAGGGAAUCUUCCGCAAAGGGCGAAAGCCUGACGGAGCAACGCCGCGUGAGUGAGGAAGGUCUUCGGAUCGUAAAACUCUGUUAUUAGGGAAGAACAAAUGUGUAAGUAACUAUGCACGUCUUGACGGUACCUAAUCAGAAAGCCACGGCUAACUACGUG
rnacentral:rRNA from 1 species